GGGGAUGUAGCUCAGUGGUUGAGUGCUUGCCUAGUAUGUGCAAGGCCUGGGUUUGAUCUCCAACACCCCUC
rnacentral:tRNA from 1 species